rnacentral:rRNA from 1 species
CAGCAGCCGCGGUAAAACGAGGGGUGCAAGCGUUAUUCGGAUUGAUUGGGUGUAAAGGGUGUGCAGACGGCUUAUUAAGUCACUUGUUAAAUUCUUCGGCCUAACUGAAGGUCUGCAAGUGAUACUGAUGAGCUAGAGGGUGGAAGAGAGAAGUGGAAUUCUCGGAGUAGCGGUAAAAUGCGUAGAUCUCGAGAGGAACACCAAUGGCGAAGGCAGCUUCUUGGUCCAUUCCUGACGUUCAUACACGAAAGCGUGGGGAGCAAACAGGAUUAGAUACCCGCGUAGUCCCUGUCUCUUAUAC